rnacentral:rRNA from 1 species
GUGGGGAAUUUUGGACAAUGGGCGCAAGCCUGAUCCAGCAAUGCCGCGUGCAGGAAGAAGGCCUUCGGGUUGUAAACUGCUUUUGUACGGAACGAAAAGGCUCUGGCUAAUACCUGGAGCUCAUGACGGUACCGUAAGAAUAAGCACCGGCUAACUACGUGCCAGCAGCCGCGGUAAUACGUAGGGUGCGAGCGUUAAUCGGAAUUACUGGGCGUAAAGCGUGCGCAGGCGGUUUUGUAAGACAGGCGUGAAAUCCCCGGGCUCAACCUGGGAAUUGCGCUUGUGACUGCAAGGCUGGAGUGCGGCAGAGGGGGAUGGAAUUCCGCGUGUAGCAGUGAAAUGCGUAGAUAUGCGGAGGAACACCGAUGGCGAAGGCAAUCCCCUGGGCCUGCACUGACGCUCAUGCACGAAAGCGUGGGGAGCAAACAGGAUUAGAAACCCCGGUAGUCC